rnacentral:RNase_P_RNA from 1 species
GAGGAAAGUCCACCCACCACUGGACACACAGACAUUUCCCCAAGGAUGUAGGGCGAGAGCUCUGGCUCUGGCACAGAAACAAGACCGCACCGCGUCAAAGCGAUGAUGCCGUAAGGCUGAGGUCGCGCGGGAGGCGGAUGAAACGGCGAAACCCUGUGGGUGCAAGCCAAAAUAGAGCUGAGAACGCGGACGUCCAGCCGAGCUCGGGUAUGGCGCUAAGCUGAAUGCCGUCAAAGAACAGAAGCGGGCUUA